GAAGAGAAAAAAAAAAAAAAAACAACAAAAAGACGACGACUAGCGCCUGAUUAAUAAUUAAUAAAUAACCGGCAAUUAGAGGCAAAGUUGACGGUUUUUUUUCAGGGCCUCGUCGCAUCGACCCCGUAAUAAAUGCACGUUAUAUGGCCCACGGAGGUCGGAUCGCGUCGUAGACGACCUUGGAAGUCCCUUACGGGGAGAACAACCGCUCGACCGUUUCGGGAAAGAAAGAAGGAGAGAUGGAAAAGUGGGUUCCCCGGGCGUGAAUGAUCGGGAUGGAAUUUCGACGGCCGAUGCUCUCCGCCAGCGUUUCGUCCUUUCCGUUGAACUGAGCGGAUGUCAUUUCGCCUGCGGAUUGGUCUCGCCUAGUCGUCGCUCUCGUAGCGUCCUUUUUUCAAAACGAUGUCGAACAACGACCUGUGGAGUCGAGGGAAGAGGAAACCCUUGCCAGGCGCACCUCGCUGAUCUGGAACCAGAGAAACGUGAAAUAGAAACAUCCCUGGAAUAGAGAGACUGUGAAAAAUUAAUCGGACUUUUCUCGCCGUC
rnacentral:misc_RNA from 1 species